CAGCAGCCGCGGGAAUACGAAGGGUGCAAGCGUUAAUCGGAAUUACUGGGCGUAAAGCGUGCGUAGGCGGUGAGUUAAGUCUGCUGUGAAAUCCCCGGGCUCAACCUGGGAAUGGCAGUGGAUACUGGCUCGCUAGAGUGUGUCAGAGGAUGGUGGAAUUCCCGGUGUAGCGGUGAAAUGCGUAGAGAUCGGGAGGAACAUCAGUGGCGAAGGCGGCCAUCUGGGACAACACUGACGCUGAGGCACGAAAGCGUGGGGAGCAAACAGGAUUAGAGACCCCCGUAGUCCCUGUCUCUUAUAC
rnacentral:rRNA from 1 species